GUUAUCAGGUUUAUCACGUUUAUCACGUUUAUCAUGUUUAUCACGUUUAUAAUGUUUAUCAGGUUUAUCACGUUUAUAAUGUUUAUCAGGUUUAUCACGUUUAUAAUGUUUAUCAGGUUUAUCACGUUUAUCAGGUUCAUCACGUUUAUCACGUUUAUCAGGUUUAUCACGUUUAUCAGGUUCGUCACGUUUAUCAGGUUUAUCACGUUUAUCAGGUUCAUCACGUUCAUCACGUUUAUCACGUUUAUCAGGUUUAUCACGUUUAUCACUGAGUAAAUACGUCAUCGCGACACAGAAAGACAGCGUGUAUUGUUUUGGCACAAUGAGAUGACUGAAGAACUGAAAAUGAGUGUGUCUGAGGGAACAUGGAUCACAGCGGUUACUGCGGUUACUGCGGUUACUGCAUCUCUGUGGAAAAUGACCAAAUGUUUCGGAGAAAUAUAACAGGAAUGCUUAUGUACAGGAAAAUAAUGGCUCUCUAUUGUAAAUUAAUUAAAGAUUUAUUGUAAACAAAUCAAAGACGGUCUGUUGUAAACACAUUAAGGCGGUCUGUUGUAAAUAAAUUAAAGGCGGUCUGUUGUAAAUAAAUUAAAGGCGGUCUGUUGUAAAUAAAUUAAAGGUGGUCUGUUGUAAACACAUUAAAGGCGGUCUGUUGUAAAUAAAUUAAAGGCGGUCUGUUGUAAACACAUUAAAGGCGGUCUGUUGUAAAUAAAUUAAAGGCGGUCUGUUGUAAAUAAAUUAAAGGCGGUCUGUUGUAAAUAAAUUAAAGGCGGUCUGUUGUAAAUAAAUUAAAGGUGGUCUGUUGUAAGCACAUUAAAGGCGGUCUUGUAAAUAAAUUAGGGAUGGUCUAAGAGAAAUGUACGGUGGUCUAGGGAAAAUAAAAUGUAGUCUUUUAUUCCUAGUGUAGUGCUCUCCAGGAGUUCAGUGUGUAGGUGGAGUGUCUAAUCAUUUUUAGAUCAACACAACAUCUGCAGGGCUGCUGAGUCUGUGAACACACACACACACACACACACACACACACACACACACACACACACACACACACACACACAGGAAGUGGUUAAAGACUUCGGAAACAUUGCUGCACAGUGCGUUCAUAUGAGUCCAUACACACACACCUAGACACACACACACACUCUUGGAAUUGAUGACAUGUAGCCACAUCCUCUCAAUCAAACAGCAGCAAAAAUCAUUUGGAGUUUUUUUACACUGUUAUAAAAAGGAACGUUUCUGC
ensembl:lncRNA